UGAAUAAGCGUGGUUUUCCCAGGAACUGCCAAGAGCAACGGCGUGCAGGGGGAGUGAAGCAGCAGAGACGACUGUAACGUGGGGCUGUAUAGGCCAUGGCAAAGACUCUGGAUUUUAUUACAAGUGCUACCUCCAUACCUCUUAAACCUUGUGUUUACUUCUUGUCUUUGUACUCCCUACACCUGUGCCACCCAAUAUGGUAGCUACUGCCACAUGAGGCUCCUGAGACCUUGGAAUGUGGCUUGUGCAAAUGAACAGUAUGAAAAGAAUUAAACUAUCACUAACUUUUUACUGUUUACUGGUUGAAAUGAAAAUAUUUUGGAUAUAUUUGGAUAACUUUAAUAAAGUUAACAUAUUUUCUUUUAAUUAACUUUUUUUUAUUUUUGAGACAAUUCUAGAUUUCUAUGCAGUUUUAAGAAAUAAUACAGAGAAAUCUCAUGUUCCCUUUAUUCAUUUUUGCCCAAUGGUAACAUCUUACCAAUUAUUGUCACCAUUUUACUACCAGGAUAUUGAAGUGAUACAUCUUAUUCGGAUUUCCCUAGUUUUAAUCGUACUCAUUUGUGGGUGUGUUUAGUCCUAUGCAAUUUUAUCACAUUUGCAAAUACAUGUUUCCACCACCAUGUUGAGAUUUAAAGCAGUUCCUUCAUUUCAAGAUUCAGUGUUUUAUGCUUUUAUAACCACAUCUACCUCACUCCUGUGCUCCAUCCCUCCCCCCAGCCCUAACCUCUAGCAACCACUAGUUCUCCAUUUCUAGUUUUGUCAUGUCAAUAAUGUUAAAAGUAAAUGGAAUUAUACAAGGUAUAUCCUUCAGGAAUUGGCUUUAUUCCCUUCAAAUAAGUCUCUGAAGGUUGAUCCAAGUUGUUGCAUGCAUCAAUAGUUCAUGCCUCUUUAUUGCUGAGGAGCAUGAUAUGGAUAUAUCACACUUUAACUGCUCAUUCAUUGAAGCACACCCGGAUUGGUCUUAUUCUCGCUAUUAUGCAUAAAGCUGCCAUGAACAUUCCUGUGCCUGUUUUUCUGUUAACAUUAGUCUUAAUACAUCUAGAGUAAAUGCUUGAGUCUGUCAGUCAUAUGGUAUUUGAAUAUUUAGUUAUAUAAGACACUGCCAAGUCAUUUUUGCAGCGUAUUGUACCAACCUCCUUUUACUUUUUGGUAACAUGGCUGCUAGAAAAUUAUGAUGCGUAUGUGGCUCCCAUUUCUGUUGGAUAGUGCUGCUCUGGUUCAUCCCCCAUGCUUUUCUUUCUAUCUGGAGUGUGUUUUCAUUAUCCCUUCACAAAUGCAUGCGAACUUCUAUGGCACAGUGGUUAAGAGCAGAAUCUAAAACCAAAUGGCCUGUGUUUGUACGUUGGAUCUACCUCGGACCAACUCUAUGAUUUGUUAUAUGUAGUGCCUUUUUUUCCCUCUGUUUAUCUGUCAAUGGGAUGCUUAUUGUCAUACAGAUCUGAUUGGGUUUGUGUGAGGAUUGAGUGUAUUUAGCACAUGUGAAAUUAUUUCUCGAUGACAACCUUCUUACCCCUUGCUCCAGAGCAGAUUUAAAUCCUCAUAUAGACUUCCACUGCAGUCAAGACCCUCAUUAAAAUUGUAAUUACAUGAUUAUUUCAUACCUUUCUCUACCACUAUACGGGAAGCAGCCCUGUCUAUCUGAUUCAAUGCUGUAUCUUCAGUGCUACCAUAGAACUGGCCAAGUGAAGGCAGUUAGCGUAUCAUUGUUGAAUAAAUGAAUGAAUGAGGGAAUGAAUUUCCUUCAAUGUAAGCAUUACUCAUGAGUUACUUAAAAUACUAUUUUAUUUCCUCUUUCUUUCUUAACUUUUAAGAGCAUAUGUUAUUCAUGAGAAGACUAGGUCUCUGUUUUAAGUUAUAGGACUAGUUUUUACCUAUGGAUCCUAUAUAUUGUGGAAUAAAAACUGUUCUGAGGGUAGUGAUAGAAUUAAAUGGUAAACAUAUUAAGAAUCAUACAUAAUAUAAUACUCUUUAUUGGUAUGUUUGGUUAAAUUGCUCAGUUUAAGUAAUAGUUCCAUUGUUAUGUUGGGAUUCCCAAAAUUUGAUGGAAUGCGUGUUCCUCAACUACAUUCUUUGGCUUGAUGGGCCUUGAGAACACUGAUCCCCCAAAGCAUCAGUAGGUGGUAUUGAGUGGAAGUAUUUCUUUAUACUUCUGCAGAUAUUUUAUCUCAGUAUUUCAAUUAUUGAAAGCCUUAAUUAGGUAAGUUCCAUGACAUUCUUACAAAAGUCAGAAAACACGGCUUCACCUAGAUGAUUUUCAUUUACUACUCUCUGUUUAAAACACGAACUGUGUACCAACUACAUGCCUUUUCCAUAUACACACAUAUAUUCACUCAAAUAUAUUUUUUCAAUGAUUUCCUCCCCCCCCCUUUAUCUUCUUACCUACUAGGGAGUUACUAUAGCAGAAAGAACUGAUUUAUGGUCACUUUGAUAUAAGGUAAGUGAGGCUCUUGCUAUCAACCCUGUGGUCUUGAAAAGACCAAUUAACAUGUUAUAUCCUUCAUUUCAUUUGCGAAGUUAUGGAAAUGAUCUCUACCAAGUGGAAUUUCAAUCAUAACUAAAUGCAAGGGUCCAUAAAUACCAGGGUCCACCUCUAGAACCUUAAUUUUAAAAGUCUCCAUACUUGAAUGGUACCAGCCCACAGGCUAUCAUGGACAUUAACUUCACAGUUACGUGACAAGGCUUUGCCAUAAACUUAUGUCUCUCAACUCUAAACUAAUCAGCAGAAGAACGAAAUAUCCCUUCUUUCCGUCUAAAUAUUUGAGCUCUAAUCUGUACUGAAGAAUAUCCAGGUGUAAAAGAAAAAUUAAUGAUGAUAUUUGUUUCCUGGUUCUAUGACUUUUAAUACUUUAUUAAAAUAAUACAAAAUAUCAAAAUUUUCUAAUAUUUAUUGAGUGAUUACUUUGUGAUCAGAACUAUAUUGAAUAGUUUACCACAUUUUUUGAGAUACAAUUGACAUUUAACACUGUAUAAGGUAAGGUGUACAAUGUGUUGAUUUUGUACAUCUAUAUAUUGCAGUAUCAUUUCCACCAUUGCAUUAACCAGUACUUCCAUUAUGUCUCCCAUAAUUACUGUAUUUUUUUUUGUGGCGAGAACCUUUAAGAUCUACUUUCUUAGCAACUUUGAAGUAUGUAAUACUGUCAAUACAACAACACAGGUAAUUACUAUAAUCAUUCCUAUUUUACAUUUGGGGACAGGUUAAGAGAAAUUAAAUGAGUGGUUCAAGGUCAGAGUGCUAGUAAUUAUUAAAGCUAGGAUAUGAUUCUGUGUGAUGUGAGGAUUCAAGCCUUUACGAACGAUGUAUCUUACCUCAUUUCAAUAAUUUAAGUUGUCAUUUAGGUUAAUCAUGUUCCUUUUGUUUUCAUCUGCCAAUGGGAUGAUUGUAGUCAUACUGAUCUCAUUGGGUUUGUGUGGGGAUUGAGUGUAUUUAGCACAUGUGAAAUUAUUUCUCAAUGACAUAUAUUCAUUCACAUACAGACUGGUGAAAUAAAAUCAGGUUCUUUCCCUCCCAUACCUUUACAUUUAUCAUGUUCCCUUGACCUUUAUAAAUAAAAUCAACAAACACAGCAACAACCCUUGUCUGAAGUGAGUUCUCUUCACUCACUUCUAGCUCCUUCUCCCAUUUUCUAUUGCAGCCCAAAGACUUUGAGAUCAUAAACAUCUGUAUGCCAACAAUAUUGAAUUUUUAUCACCAGGUAACUUCAGUUGCAUAGAUAUGAAAGUGUAACACCAUAUUUUUUAAAAAAUCACUCCUCCUGCCACAUUUUAAUACAUCUGUAGUUACUGUCUGGAAUAACAAUAUUAAGUGGUUUGUUUUUUU
rnacentral:lncRNA from 1 species